CAUGRUGUAGCUUAAUUAGCAAAGCACCUGGCCUACACCCAGAAGACUCCACAAACAAUGGACAUCAUGA
rnacentral:tRNA from 1 species